GCCGGGUGGUCGAGCGGUGUCAGGCAGGGGCGGGUCGCGCCCCAGAAAGUGAUCUCGUGCCGGAUCCCCUCCGGCAGCCGGCUC
rnacentral:tRNA from 1 species